CUCUUAUUCAGAUUUGGCUAUUUGAGCAAAAGGACCUGAGAAUCAAGGGCUGAAUGAUUGCAUUAUUUACAACCUAACAAUCCAUUGGAGGUUCAUUUGGUGUUAUUGGCCUAGGUGUUGGUGUUUCACUCUUGUCAUGAGUUAAGCACUCAUUUAUUGU